UAACGAAAAGGGCAAACUCUUUGAAAAAAGGGGACGCAAAGCUUAGGGUCUAAAGCCGCCGAGGCCAUGAUCGCCUGGCUGCCGAU
rnacentral:ncRNA from 1 species